CGGCCCGGCCUUCCCUACCCCCGCGCCGUCCCCCCCACCGGGCCGCCCCCAGGCUGGGGAUGAGAGGAAAGGUGGCUUGGCUGAAACCCUUCUCGUCUUGGCCCAAAGUGUUCCCCUGGUGGCAUUUUCUGCUUUCCAAGAAGGAAAUGAGAACUGCAAAUGAGAACUUCAGGAACCUCCCUGAGCCCUGCGAGAAAGUGUGAAAACUGGUCCAGGUCUCCCCUGCUCAGUAUUUUGCUAUUGAUGAGCCCUGUAGAGGAAGGACCUUGCUAAUGAGGCGCUGUCUUGGGGAUUCACUGACUGCUUAAUCCCCUCUUCUUGAUGCAAUUCUGAGGCCAU